rnacentral:rRNA from 1 species
CACGUAGGGUGCGAGCGUUGUCCGGAAUUAUUGGGCGUAAAGAGCUCGUAGGCGGUGUGUCGCGUCGGCCGUGAAAACCUGCAGCUUAACUGUGGGCUUGCGGUCGAUACGGGCAGACUAGAGUUCGGUAGGGGAGACUGGAAUUCCUGGUGUAGCGGUGAAAUGCGCAGAUAUCAGGAGGAACACCGGUGGCGAAGGCAGAUCUCUGGGCCGUAACUGACGCUGAGGAGCGAAAGCGUGGGGAGCGAACAGG